AUUGAACGCUGGCGGCAUGCUUUACACAUGCAAGUCGAACGGCAGCGCGGGCUUCGGCCUGGCGGCGAGUGGCGAACGGGUGAGUAAUGCAUCGGAACGUGCCCAGUAGUGGGGGAUAGCCCGGCGAAAUCCGGAUUAAUACCGCAUACGACCUGAGGGUGAAAGCGGGGGACCGAAAGGCCUCGCGCUAUUGGAGCGGCCGAUGUCGGAUUAGCUAGUUGGUGGGGUAAAGGCUUACCAAGGCGACGAUCCGUAGCUGGUCUGAGAGGACGACCAGCCACAAUGGGACUGAGACACGGCCCAGACUCCUACGGGAGGCAGCAGUGGGGAAUUUUGGACAAUGGGGGCAACCCUGAUCCAGCCAUGCCGCGUGCGGGAAGAAGGCCUUCGGGUUGUAAACCGCUUUUGUUCGGGAAGAAAUCCUCUGGGCUAAUACCCCGGGGGGAUGACGGUACCGGAAGAAUAAGCACCGGCUAACUACGUG
rnacentral:rRNA from 1 species